AGAGAGAGCCUGGACCUCAACAUGAGCAUUUGGAGCCAUUUGGCAGCAUUAGGCUGUGACCGCUUGGAGAACCGAAAGGGCGA
rnacentral:lncRNA from 1 species